rnacentral:tRNA from 1 species
AGGGGGUCGCGAGCCGGGAAGGUGGGGGGAACCCCCGUGACCGGGGUUCGAAUCCCCGCCCGGCUACCA